AGUGGCGAAGGCGACUUCCUGGACUAAAACUGACGCUGAGGAACGAAAGCGUGGGUAGCAAACGGGAUUAGAUACCCCGGUAGUCCACGCCGUAAACGAUGUCAACUAGCCGUUGGGUCUAUUUAUAGACUUAGUGGCGGAGCUAACGUAUUAAGUUGACCGCCUGGGGAGUACGGCCGCAAGGUUAAAACUCAAAUGAAUUGACGGGGGCCCGCACAAGCGGUGGAGCAUGUGGUUUAAUUCGAUGCAACGCGAAGAACCUUACCUACCCUUGACAUCCAGAGAAUCUGUUAGAGAUAGUAGAGUGCCUUCGGGAACUCUGAGACGGGUGCUGCAUGGCUGUCGUCAGCUCGUGUCGUGAGAUGUUGGGUUAAGUCCCGUAACGAGCGCAACCCUUAUCCUUAGUUGCUAGCAGGUAAUGCUGAGAACUCUAGGGAGACUGCCAGUGAUAAACUGGAGGAAGGUGGGGACGACGUCAAGUCAUCAUGGCCCUUAUGGGUAGGGCUACACACGUGCUACAAUGGUCGGUACAGAGGGCCGCAAACUCGCGAGAGUAAGCUAAUCCCAGAAAGCCGAUCUUAGUCCGGAUUGCAGUCUGCAACUCGACUGCAUGAAGUUGGAAUCGCUAGUAAUCGCGGAUCAGAAUGCCGCGGUGAAUACGUUCCCGGGCCUUGUACACACCGCCCGUCACACCAUGGGAGUGGGUUGCAAAAGAAGUGGGUAGUCUAACCUUCGGGAGGGCGCUCACCACUUUGUGACUCAUGACUGGGGUGAAGUCGUAACAAGGUA
rnacentral:rRNA from 1 species